rnacentral:miRNA from 1 species
UGGGUCUCCUUCCUGCUGAGAGCUGGAUGCUUAUCAGGACAAUCUGCCUGUGGAAAGGAGCUACCCAC